rnacentral:rRNA from 1 species
CCUACGGGUGGCAGCAGUGGGGCAUAUUGCACAAUGGGGGAAACCCUGAUGCAGCGACGCCGCGUGAGUGAAGAAGUAAUUCGUUAUGUCAAGCUCUAUCAGCAGGGAAGAAAAUGACGGUACCUGAGUAAGAAGCCCCGGCUAACUACGUGCCAGCAGCCGCGGUAAUACGUAGGGGGCAAGCGUUAUCCGGAUUUACUGGGGGGAAAGGGAGCGUAGACGGCAGUGCAAGUCUGGAGUGAAAGUCGGGGGCUCAACCCCCGGACUGCUCUGGAAACUGUACGGCUGGAGUGCAGGAGAGGUAAGUGGAAUUCCUAGUGUAGCGGUGAAAUGCGUAGAGAUUAGGAGGAAAACCAGUGGCGAAGGCGGCUUACUGGACUGUAACUGACGUUGAGGCUCGAAAGCGUGGGGAGCAAACAGGAUUAGAUACCCUGGUAGUC